AAGUCGAGCGGCAGCGACAGUUACAAUCCUUCGGGUGCGUUUCUGGGCGGCGAGCGGCGGACGGGUGAGCUAAUGCCUGGGAAUAUGCCUUGAUGUGGGGGAUAACUAUUGGAAACGAUAGCUAAUACCGCAUAAUCUCUUCGGAGCAAAGAGGGGGACCUUCGGGCCUCUCGCGUCAAGAUUAGCCCAGGUGGGAUUAGCUAGUUGGUGAGGUAAUGGCUCACCAAGGCAACGAUCCCUAGCUGGUCUGAGAGGAUGAUCGGCCACACUGGAACUGAGACACGGUCCAGACUCCCACGGGAGGCAGCAGUGGGGAAUAUUGCACAAUGGGCGCAAGCCUGAUGCAGCCAUGCCGCGUGUGUGAAGAAGGCCUUCGGGUUGUAAAGCACUUUCAGUCGUGAGGAAGGCAGUGUAGUUAAUAGCUGCAUUGUUUGACGUUAGCGACAGAAGAAGCACCGGCUAACUCCGUGCCAGCAGCCGCGGUAAUACGGAGGGUGCGAGCGUUAAUCGGAAUUACUGGGCGUAAAGCGCAUGCAGGUGGAUGAUUAAGUCAGAUGUGAAAGCCCGGGGCUCAACCUCGGAACAGCAUUUGAAACUGGUCAUCUAGAGUACUGUAGAGGGGGGUAGAAUUUCAGGUGUAGCGGUGAAAUGCGUAGAGAUCUGAAGGAAUACCGGUGGCGAAGGCGGCCCCCUGGACAGAUACUGACACUCAGAUGCGAAAGCGUGGGGAGCAAACAGGAUUAGAUACCCUGGUAGUCCACGCCGUAAACGAUGUCUACUUGGAGGUUGUGGCCUUGAGCCGUGGCUUUCGGAGCUAACGCGUUAAGUAGACCGCCUGGGGAGUACGGUCGCAAGAUU
rnacentral:rRNA from 1 species